rnacentral:rRNA from 1 species
UACAGGGGGUGCAAACGUUGUUCGGAAUUACUGGGCGUAAAGCGCGUGUAGGCGGCCCUGCAAGUCGGAUGUGAAAUCCCACGGCUCAACCGUGGAAGUGCAUUCGAAACUGCAGGGCUAGAGUCCUGGAGAGGAAGGUGGAAUGCUUGGUGUAGAGGUGAAAUUCGUAGAUAUCAAGCGGAACACCGGUGGCGAAGGCGGCCUUCUGGACAGUGACUGACGCUGAGACGCGAAAGCGUGGGGAGCAAACAGGG